CAAGAGUGAGGGAGGUUCACUUUGUACAUUUCUCUCAUUUUUCUCCUUUUGGACAUCCUUUCCACCAAAGGAUGGUUCAGGUCCCUAUAUUCUGUGCCCACUCGGGUCAAAUUACUGCUCUGCUAGAUGCUUUGAGUGAAAUAAAUGUGGCUUAAAAACAGUCCUCCUCGAGGAACAUAUAAACUCAGGGAGAGAAAAGGUAUUUAAAUCCCUAUUAUAAAGUUGAAUGUGGUAAAUGCCACCAGUUAUGUGCAGAGUAUUAAGAAAGCUCAGAAGAAAGAUAUACCUGGGAGGAUCAUUAUAAUUUUUAUUGAGGAGGUGGCAUAAGAGCUGUGAAUAAUUUAUAGAUUUUGACUAGUGUUUUUAAAAAUUGCUCUAAUUUUCCAUAACAUUUUAUCUAAAGUAAAAAUGAGCAAAUUAUACAGUUUCACAUUUGGAUAAUUCAGCUUUCUGCAUGCUUAUAUUUAUCACCUUUGACUUAGUGGUUCCCAAACCUGGCAGUAUAUCAGAAUCAACUAGCCUCGUAAAAUUACAGAUUGCUAGGCCUCUCACGUCAAACUACCUCAUCAGCCUCUCAGGGCUGGGGAGUGGAGUAGGCAGUGAGAGACCCAGGAAACUGAAUUUGUUAAAAGCUCUCUCCAUAUCAUUCUGUUAUGGCUAGUCAAAGGGUAAUGUUUGGCAAUCUCUGUUAGACUGUAUGUUUCAUAAAUUCCACUUGAUCACAUUUCUUUCAGAAUGUAGAAAGGGACCAAAGAGAAUCUUUGCCCCACCUGCACAAAAAUCUUACAGCCUGUUACCUUGUAGCCCUAACUCCCCCAAGGAAGAGACCCUGGGGAUCAGUUCCCCAGAGACAGAGGCCAGGAUAAGCCUGCCAAAGGCCAGUUUAAAGAAGAAAGAGGAAAAAGCAACCAUGAAGAAUGUUCCAAGCAGGGAACAGGAGAAAAAAAGAAAAGCACAAAUCAACAAGCAAGCAGAGAAGAAAGAAAAGGAAAAAUCAAGUCUUACCAAUGCAGAAUUUGAGGAGAUUGUCCAGAUUGUUCUGCAGAAGUCCCUUCAGGAGUGCUUGGGGAUGGGAUCUGGCCUUGAUUUUGCAGAGACUUCUUGUGCCCAGCCCAUAGUAUCUACCCAGUCAGACAAGGAGCCAGGAAUUACUGCUUCUGCUACUGAUACUGAUAAUGCUAAUGGAGAGGAGGUACCACAUACUCAAGAGAUUUCAGUGUCUUGGGAGGGUGAAGCUGCCCCUGAGAUAAGGACAUCUAAGCUAGGCCAGCCAGAUCCUGCACCCUCUAAGAAGAAAUCCAAUAGACUCACCUUAAGCAAAAGAAAGAAGGAAGCUCAAGAUGAGAAGGUGGAGAAAACUCAAGGUGGACAUGAGCACAGAGAGGAAGACCAACUGAAGAAAACAGUUCAGCAUCAUUCUCAGAUCAGGGACCAGCAAAAAGGAGAGAUAAGUGGUUUUGGUCAAUGUCUGGUCUGGGUCCAGUGUUCCUUCCCAAACUGUGGGAAAUGGAGGCGGCUGUGUGGGAACAUUGACCCCUCAGUUCUCCCAGAUAAUUGGUACUGUGAUCAGAACACAGCAGAUGUGCAGUAUAAUCGCUGUGAUAUUCCUGAGGAGACCUGGACAGGGCUUGAGAGUGAUGUGGCCUAUGCCUCCUACAUCCCAGGAUCCAUCAUCUGGGCCAAGCAAUACGGUUACCCCUGGUGGCCAGGCAUGAUAGAAUCUGAUCCUGACUUAGGGGAAUAUUUUCUUUUUACUUCCCAUCUUGAUUCCCUGCCGUCUAAGUACCACGUGACAUUUUUUGGAGAAACAGUUUCUCGUGCGUGGAUCCCAGUCAACAUGCUAAAGAACUUCCAGGAGCUGUCCCUGGAGCUAUCAGUCAUGAAAAAGCGCAGAAAUGACUGCAGCCAGAAACUGGGGGUGGCCCUGAUGAUGGCUCAAGAGGCAGAACAGAUCAGCAUUCAGGAACGGGUUAACUUGUUUGGUUUCUGGAGCCGAUUCAACGGAUCUAACAGUAAUGGGGAAAGAAAAGACUUACAGCUCUCUGGUUUGAACAGCCCAGGAUCCUGCUUGGAGAAAAAGGAGAAGGAGGAAGAGUUGGAAAAGGAGGAAGGAGAGAAAACAGACCCAAUUUUGCCCAUUCGUAAGCGAGUCAAAAUACAGACCCAAAAAACCAAACCAAGAGCCAAGAAGGAUGGCUUCCUGGAGAAGGUAGACUCUGUGGAGAACUGUAAAGAGAAGAUCCAGGGGAUAAAAGAAAAAGAGAAUUGCGGGGGAAAGAUGUUGAAAAGAGCCAGAGGCCACCAGGAGAACUCACUAGAUGGAGACUGAGCAGAAGAUGUGGGGCAGGGCAGAGACUCAAUGUGCAGUGUCCAUCUGCCCUUGCCGAGCUGUCAUUUAGAAAGAAAUAAACACAUUUCCCUCACGGCUGGGCUUGGGGGUGAUGCAGGCACAGCAGAUGGCCGAGGGAGGACACUGCAGAGGAAGAUAAUGAAGAAAUCUCUGGGCAUGAAAUCCACAGCUCCUCCUGCACCCAGAAUGGGAAGGAAAGAAGGCCAAGGGAAUUCAGAUUCUGACCAGCCAGGCCCUAAGAAAAAAUUUAAAGCUCCCCAGAGCAAGGCCUUGGCAGCCAGCUUUUCAGAGGGAAAAGAAGUUAGAACAGUGCCAAAGAACCUGGGCCUAUCAGUGUGUAAGGGGGCCUGCCCCUCAUCUGCGAAAGAAGAGCCCAGACCCCAGGAACCCCUGACCCAGGAGGCUGGAAGUGUCCCCCUUGAGGACGAAGCCUCCGGUGACCUGGACCUGGAGCAACUCAUGGAAGAUGUUGGGAGAGAGCUGGGGGAGAGAGCUGGGGCAGAGCGGGGAGCUGCAGCACAGCAACAGUGAUGGCGAGGACUUCCCCGUGGCGCUGUUUGGGAAGUAGCUGGUGCUCCUGUGCUCCCUCCUUUUCUCCCUUCUCUGGGGUGCAGGAGGAAGAAGUUGCUAAGUGCUGGAGCUGUUCGUUGGCCAUGAGGUUCAAGUGUGUGUGGUGCAAUUUCUGUGUUAAUAAAGUAGGUUAUGGUCGACUGGCUUGGCUGGUCUCUAACUGCCCCCUGUUGGCUGCUCUCCCUC